AACGAACGCUGGCGGCAUGCCUAACACAUGCAAGUCGAACGAGACCUUCGGGUCUAGUGGCGCACGGGUGCGUAACGCGUGGGAACCUGCCCUUAGGUUCGGAAUAACUCCCCGAAAGGGGUGCUAAUACCGGAUAAUGUCUUCGGACCAAAGAUUUAUCGCCUUUGGAUGGGCCCGCGUUGGAUUAGCUAGUUGGUAGGGUAAAAGCCUACCAAGGCGACGAUCCAUAGCUGGUCUGAGAGGAUGAUCAGCCAAACUGGGACUGAGACACGGCCCAGACUCCUACGGGAGGGAGGAGGGGGGGAUAUUGGACAAUGGGGGAAAGGCUGAACCAGCAAUGCCGGGUGAGUGAUGAAAGCCUUAGGGUUGGUAAGCUCUUUUACCCGGGAUGAUAAUGACAGUACCGGGAGAAUAAGCCCCGGCUAACUCCGUG
rnacentral:rRNA from 1 species